rnacentral:lncRNA from 1 species
UCUUUCCAGAGGAUAACAAAAUCAUCAGCCUAAAGGAUGUAGGCAUGUAGACCGAAGAAUGAAAUUUUUACUGACAUCAAUUGUGAUGAACAUUCUCAGUAGGAUUGUGUCUUGUUUUAGUUUAAACAAAUUUAUUUAUAGUGGAUUGGGAAACAAGUUUUGCAACUUAUAUUAAUCCCUUUCCACUUUUGCGGGUUUUGUAAGACAUCUUGUGGCAGUAUAGAUGUACACAGUAAUUCAUUAGAAACAGAAAUAGAAUCUGAAUUAAAAAAUGUCUAUAAUCAAAGAAACUUUGAAAAUGGAUUAAUCUGUGAAAAAAAUACAACAAUUAUUACUUCCUAUGAAUAUUGUUGUUAUCUAUAUCUGACAGGUGUCUGAGCUUGCAGUCUGUAUUACAUAUUUUCUACGAACUUUCUUACUAUUUGGUUAAAUACGACUAUUUAU